UACGGAGGGUGCAAGCGUUAUCCGGAUUCACUGGGUUUAAAGGGUGCGUAGGCGGGUAAGUAAGUCCGUGGUGAAAUCUCUGAGCUUAACUCAGAAACUGCCGUGGAUACUAUUUGCCUUGAAUAUUGUGGAGGUGAGCGGAAUAUGGCAUGUAGCGGUGAAAUGCUUAGAUAUGACAUAGAACACCAAUUGCGAAGGCAGCUCACUACACAAUCAUUGACGCUGAGGAGCGAAAGCAUGGGGAGCGAACAGG
rnacentral:rRNA from 1 species